UUUAAGAGAGUGCAAAUUAUACUAGGAUGAGGAAACAGUAUUCGAGUGAGUGUUCCUGGCCUUACUGGUGAGGCGGGCUGCAGUGGGGAAGAAAUUGUCCCUAUGGUGUGAUGUUUUGGUCUCAAUGGACGCAACCUUCUGCCAGAGUCUGAAAGAGUUUGUGACCAGGGUGAGAGGAAUCAGCCAUAACCCUUCCUGCUCGUACAGGUCCUGUAAAGACGGAAGGUUGCAGCCGAUCGUCUUCCCGGCAGAGUGAAUGAUGCUCUGUUGAGCUUUUUUGGUGAGAGAGCAGAUGUUCAUCUCCCACUUGAGGUCCUUGCUGAUUAUGGUGCCGAGGAAGCGGAAGUAUUCCACAGCGGUGACUGUUGAGCCGAGCAGGAAGAUGGGUGGAGGUGGGGCAGAGCUUUUCCUGAAGUCCACAAUCAUCUCCACUGUCUUCAGGGCUUUGAGCUUAAGGUUGUUACUCAACAACACAAAUGUCCACAAAUACAUGUUUCUAUAUUUGGCAUUAUAAGCACAGAGAUGGACAUAAAUCUGUCCUGUCUUUCAGUCAUAAAGCUUUGAAAGGAUGGUGAGGUUAGCCUAAGAGAUGCCAUUUUCGAUGGUAAGUUUAAGGGCAUUCAAUAUAACUGUAGUUUUAUCGCCUUUUGCCCUAGAAAUUUUGUUUAGAAUUAACCAGCUUAGUUUGUGCAUGCAUCUAUUUCUCUAUAUAUACAUAUAACUUUUUUUAUGAAAGGGUCAAAGACAUACAACAUAACAAGAUGUAAUCGAAGUGUUGGAAAGGAGAGAGAAGAGAAGGAAAGGGAAAAAAUAAAAUCAACUCAAAAAAAGUAAGCAAAAAUAAUAAUACAAUCACAGAACCAUUAAGUGAUACCAUUUGGUGAAUAUGUACUGAAAUAUAAUUAAAAGAAUAAUAAAACAGAGGUAAAACAAUACAAAUAAACAACAAAUACAGAAGAAA